rnacentral:rRNA from 1 species
UACAGAGGUCCCAAGCGUUGUUCGGAUUCACUGGGCGUAAAGGGUGCGUAGGUGGCCAGGUAAGUUCGGUGUGAAAGCUCGGAGCUUAACUCCGAAAUGUCAUUGAAUACUAUCUGGCCUAGAGGGUCGGAGGGGAGACUGGAAUUCUCGGUGUAGCAGUGAAAUGCGUAGAUAUCGAGAGGAACACCAGUGGCGAAAGGCGAGUCUCUGGACGACUCCUGACACUGAGGCACGGAAAGCUAGGGGAGCAAACCAGG